AUUUUGGGUGACNCGCUAGCGGCAGGUCUAACACAUGCAAGUAGAACGGUAACAGGAAUAGCUUGCUAUUCGCUGACGAGUUGCGAACGGGUGCGUAACGCGUAUGCAACCUACCCUUAACAGGGGGAUAGCCUUCCGAAAGGAAGAAUAAUAUCCCAUAACAUUAUUAAUUGGCAUCGAUUGAUAAUUAAAGCUCCGGCGGUUAAGGAUGGGCAUGCGUAUCAUUAGCUAGUUGGUAAGGUAACGGCUUACCAAGACGUCGAUAGGUAGGGGGCCUGAGAGGGUGAACCCCCACACUGGUACUGAGACACGGACCAGACUCCUACGGGAGGCAGCAGUGAGGAAUAUUGGGCAAUGGAGGCAACUCUGACCCAGCCAUGCCGCGUGCAGGAAGACGGCCUUAUGGGUUGUAAACUGCUUUUAUUCGGAAAGAAACCUUUCUACCUGUAGAGAGCUGACGGCACCGAAAGAAUAACGACCGGCUAACUCCGUGCCAGCAGCCGCGGUAAUACGGAAGGUCCAAGCG
rnacentral:rRNA from 1 species